UACGGAAGGCAGCAGUGGGGAAUAUUGCACAAUGGGCGCAAGCCUGAUGCAGCCAUGCCGCGUGUAUGAAGAAGGCCUUCGGGCUGUAAAGUACUUUCAGUCGUGAGGAAGGUGUUAAGGUUAAUAACCUUAGCAAUUGACGUUAGCGACAGAAGAAGCACCGGCUAACUCCGUGCCAGCAGCCGCGGUAAUACGGAGGGUGCGAGCGUUAAUCGGAAUUACUGGGCGUAAAGGGCACGCAGGCGGUUAAUUAAGUUGGAUGUGAAAUCCCCGGGCUUAACCUGGGAAUGGCAUUCAAGACUGGUUAGCUAGAGUCUUGUAGAGGGGGUAGAAUUCCAUGUGUAGCGGUGAAAUGCGUAGAGAUGUGGAGGAAUACCGGUGGCGAAGGCGGCCCCUGGACAAAGACUGACGCUCAUGUGCGAAAGCGUGGGGAGCAAACAGGAUUAGAUACC
rnacentral:rRNA from 1 species